AACGAACGCUGGCGGCAUGCCUAACACAUGCAAGUCGAACGAGACCUUCGGGUCUAGUGGCGCACGGGUGCGUAACGCGUGGGAACCUGCCCUUAGGUUCGGAAUAACUCCCCGAAAGGGGUGCUAAUACCGGAUAAUGUCUUCGGACCAAAGAUUUAUCGCCUUUGGAUGGGCCCGCGUUGGAUUAGCUAGUUGGUAGGGUAAAAGCCUACCAAGGCGACGAUCCAUAGCUGGUCUGAGAGGAUGAUCAGCCACACUGGGACUGAGACACGGCCCAGACUCCUACGGGAGGCAGCAGUGGGUAAUAUUGGACAAUGGGCGAAAGCCUGAUCCAGCAAUGCCGCGCGAGUGAUGAAGGCCUUAGGGUUGUAAAGCUCUUUUACCCGGGAUGAUAAUGACAGUACCGGGAGAAUAAGCUCCGGCUAACUCCGUG
rnacentral:rRNA from 1 species